rnacentral:rRNA from 1 species
CCUACGGGAGGCGGCAGUGAGGAAUAUUGGUCAAUGGACGAGAGUCUGAACCAGCCAAGUAGCGUGAAGGAUGACUGCCCUAUGGGUUGUAAACUUCUUUUAUCUGGGAAUAAAAUGUCGCACGUGUGCGGUUUUGUAUGUACCCUAUGAAUAAGGAUCGGCUAACUCCGUGCCAGCAGCCGCGGUAAUACGGAGGAUACGAGCGUUAUCCGGCUUUAUUGGGUUUAAAGGGUGCGUAGGUGGAUUGUUAAGUCAGUUGUUAAAGUUUGCGGCUCAACCGUAUAAGUGCAGUUGAAACUGGCAGUCUUGAGUACAGUAGAGGUGGGCGGAAUGCGUGGUGUAGCGGUGAAAUGCUUAGAUAUCACGAAGAACUCCGAUUGCGAAGGCAGCGCACCGGACUGCAACUGACACUGAGGCUCGAAAGUGUGGGUAUCAAACAGGAUUAGAUACCCGGGUAGUC